CUUGGUCAUUUAGAGGAAGUAAAAGUCGUAACAAGGUCUCCGUAGGUGAACCUGCGGAGGGAUCAUUACACAAAUAUGAAGGCGGGCUGGAACCUCUCGGGGUUACAGCCUUGCUGAAUUAUUCACCCUUGUCUUUUGCGUACUUCUUGUUUCCUUGGUGGGUUCGCCCACCACUAGGACAAACAUAAACCUUUUGUAAUUGCAAUCAGCGUCAGUAACAAAUUAAUAAUUACAACUUUCAACAACGGAUCUCUUGGUUCUGGCAUCGAUGAAGAACGCAGCGAAAUGCGAUAAGUAGUGUGAAUUGCAGAAUUCAGUGAAUCAUCGAAUCUUUGAACGCACAUUGCGCCCUUUGGUAUUCCAAAGGGCAUGCCUGUUCGAGCGUCAUUUGUACCCUCAAGCUUUGCUUGGUGUUGGGCGUCUUGUCUCUAGCUUUGCUGGAGACUCGCCUUAAAGUAAUUGGCAGCCGGCCUACUGGUUUCGGAGCGCAGCACAAGUCGCACUCUCUAUCAGCAAAGGUCUAGCAUCCAUUAAGCCUUUUUUUCAACUUUUGACCUCGGAUCAGGUAGGGAUACCCGCUGAACUUAAGCAUAUCAAUAAGCGGAGGA
rnacentral:rRNA from 12 species